GUGUCAGCCGCCGCGGUAAUACGUAGGGGGCAAGCGUUGUCCGGAUUUAUUGGGCGUAAAGAGCUCGUAGGCGGCUUGGCAAGUCGGAUGUGAAACCUCCAGGCUUAACCUGGAGUCGCCAUUCGAUACUGCUAUGGCUAGAGUUUGGUAGGGGACAACGGAAUUCUUGGUGUAGCGGUGAAAUGCGCAGAUAUCAGGAGGAACACCAGCGGCGAAGGCGGGGGUCUGGGCCAAUACUGACGCUGAGGAGCGAAAGCGUGGGGAGCGAACAGGAUUAGAUACCCCCGUAGUCC
rnacentral:rRNA from 1 species